AAAUUUAUGGGCAUGGGAGGGAAACUGAAUAUCCUUCCAAAAGGAUAAUGGAAGGGUUAUUCAAAAUACAGAUUAUCUGCUAAGAAAUCUAAAAUAGUCGUUUUUGUAGAUGGCUUAACGUAUACAAUAAAACUCUCUGCUAUAAACAGAAAGCAUGCAUUAUAUUGAUGUUUAUGAGAUAAAACAACUCUGCAGUUGUAAUUGGAGAGCAUUAGAACUUGGAGGGCUGAGGAAAGAAAGUCCCAGCAAGAACAGAAAUAGUUAUGUAGCACUAGUUUAAUAUUGUGAUAAGGAUAGAGAAGUAUGCAAAUGAUAGAGACUGAAGAUCUGCUAGAGAGUUUUUACAAAUUACCUAAAUAUUUCAUAUUUAUACAAUAUAGUCUUUGUUUUUUGAGUGGGAAGAUAUACAAAAUAGUUCAGGAGUGUUCUGUUCUACCAUUUAGGCUGUACUGAAGCUCCUCUGGACUAUGCUGUUCCAGAGGCAAUUACUAGUUUCUAAAUGUAAAUCCCCUGAACUGAAAGUAAUCUGAAGCAUGGUAUUCCAAAAUCCAGUUUCAAGGAUUUUUUUUCUGGAAACUACUGAACUACUGAACAGCACAAUUUAAAGGGGAACAGAAGGUUCGUGAGUUAUCCAGAAUGUUCUUUUCUUGAACCAAUGAGUAUUACACUUCCUUAUUUUUUGAUUUUUUUAAAAUUAUUAUUAUUUUUAUUAUUAAUUUUUUAAUUAUCCAUUAAUUUAUAGAUUAUUGAUAUUUACAGCAUCCAUGUAGAAAAUGGAAUGCAACAAUGGUACCUUGUUGCACUUCUUUUCUAGAGUUUCUGAUGUAUAUGAUACAUUUCCAUGUCUUUUUCCUACAUCAGAAAUCUGGAUACAACAGCAAUUUCUCAUCACUGCUGUUGGAUUCAUGAUGGAUACCAAGGAAGAUUGAGCUUGUCCUGAUUCAGGAUAUGUAUUGCUUUUUUUGAAAAGCAAAGAGUUUCUUAAAGGAAUAAAAUCUCAUGUAGUAUAACUGAAAUGGUCAGUUAUACUGACCAGUUAUACAGCACUGAUCCCCUGUAUUACUCAUGUAAUCAGUUAAGAAUCAUUCUGAAUUCAAUUUAUGUUAAACAAAAUCAAUUAUACAUGAAGGCCUCCCCAGUAUAGCAAUAAGUAGUAUGUUGAAUGAUGACAAUUUUACAUAGUUUCUUGCAUAUAGUUGGGAAGCAUUGCUAGUUACCAAAGAGAUGGUAUUGGGAUAAAGUAAUAUAAUCUAAUACAAUAUAGUAUAUAUCCUAUGCUUAUUAAAAACAUGCUUAUACCAAGAAAAAUUGGAGAAUUCAAUAUCAGAUUCAAAUAUCAAAAGUCCUGGUUUAAAUAAACAUAUAGGAUCAAUUUAUACUGUUUCCCAGUUUUGUAACUCAUACAUUUUCUGAAGCAUAGUUUGUAAUUAAAGAUAUGCAGGGUGACUUUGCACAAUAUUCUAGGAUAAAAUAUGAUUGGCUACUUCAUGGUUUAAUAAUGUUUAUUACUAUGCUUAGUUUAUGGUUUAAAGUGUUGUGUGACCCAAGCAUUUUGAUUAAUGCAGUAAUCUUUGAUUAAUGUAGUGUUCAACCCUAGCUACAUCAAGAUGUGCCCAUGAACAUUUUGCUGUGUACAGUUAUAUUUUUUUAAAAAAAUAGGAGAAAAUUGUGGAUAUAUUAAUAACUGGAAAGAUUUGAAUAAUUAAUAACUGAAAAGACUAUAGUAAAGGAGUAUAUGUUAGUGGUGAACAUGUUGAAUGACGUCUGAGGAGACCUAGGUUCAAAUUACUCUCAGCCAUGGUAGCUCACUGUGUGUUUUUGUGCCAGGCCCUUUUUUGCCUAAACUCCCCAUGACGUUGUGAGAAGUAUUAGAGAGGGAGUGUUAUAUAUGGUACCUUGAACACCUGAAGGAGAAGUCAGGUAUAAAUGUAAUAAAUAUCUAGACAUUUACUUAAUAGAGUUUUAUCAUAUGGCAAAAUAUUUCUGCAAAAUAUUAAUAUAUAUAUAUGAAUGCUGUUGAUACUUUGACAGUUUCUUGGUCCAUGUGUUAUCAGCCACUUAUAACAUUUGACUUCAGUAGUUGGAUAUUUUUUCCUGUAGUUUGUAUUCUCUAUAACAGUGAUGGCUAACCUUUUCCAGGCCGAGUGCCCAAAGCGCACGCCCAAACCCCCAAAAUGCAAUGCGCGUGCGGCCCCCACGCAUGUGCCCUUUCCCAUGCGUGUGCAGCCCCUGCAUGUGAGGCAGAGACUUGAAGACCAGCUGGCCGGCAGGAGGCACGCACGCAUGCGGGACAGAGCUGAACUGGGGCGAUGGCUCGCGUGCCCAUAGAGAUGGCUUCACGUGCCACCUCUGGCACAUGUGCCAUAGGUUCGCCAUCACAGCUCUAUGAAAUGCUACUUGUAUAAUGUAAGGGUUGGAAGUUAACUUGGAGAUUCAUUCUCCUGAUGAUACACAAAUCUACGGUAGUACUACAAUAUUGCCUAAACUGCUAAUCCAGCCUCUAUUUAAACACCUUCUCUGCUUAAACAAUCCACCACUUCGUGAGGCACUCUGCUCCAUACUGAACAGUUCUUACCAAUUUUUUUUAUGUUUUCUAGUAAAACCUGCUAAAUCAAACUCAUUUUUUGGUUGUCCUGUUUUCUGGAACAGCUCUAAACAAUUACGUCUGAUAGGAUUGCCUUUCAGAGAUUUGAUGACAUCUCCCUUGUCUCUGCAGUGUUUUCUUCUUCAAGCUAAACAUACCAAAAACCUCCACCUCCUCAUAAUUUUUUUUUUUUUUUGCUUUUUUUUGCUUUUAUCAUAUUGGUUGCUCCCAUUGGGCAUGUUCUAGUUUGACCAUGUCUUUUCUAAUAUAUGUGCCUACAACUGGAUGUAGCAUUCUAGAAGUAGGAUGAUUCAUUCAGAAGUGAGAGGAACAAUGAUUUAUAUUGAUCCUGAUAAUGUACUUCUAUUAAUACAGUUUAGGAUUGCUUUUUCUUGUUUCAUUUUUUGGAGCUGCACAACAUUGUUGGGUCAUACUCAUCUUGUAAUCUAGAUCCUUUUGCUAUAUAUUGCUGCCUGUAUCAUACCACAGCCAUGCACACGCUUUUAAUUUUUUCCUAUUUCAGUAUAAGAGUCUAGAUUUGUUGCUGUGAAUUUCAUCUUGCUGCUCUUGCUACUUAUUUGAGUUUAUCAGGAUCUUCCUGAAUCUUUAUAUUAUGUACUUAGAAGUUUGCUGUCCCCCCCCCCCAUCUUCAUGUCGUGAGCAAAUUUGAUAAUAAUACAUAGUAACCCUUUAAUCAAAUUGCUUACAAAUAUGUUGAGCACACAGGACUUAAAAUGAGUUCUGCAGUACGACAGUCAGAUCUAACUUCCAGCUUAGAAUGGCCUUAGCUGAACAGCACAGGACCUAACAGGGAGUUACACUGGCCUUAGCUUAACAAAAUACAAUUCUGUAGAAAUAAUUUCAAGAUGUUAGAUGGAAUCUAACUAAGAUGCCCACCACUAUGGUAGACAUAUUAGUGGGAAAAAUAGGAUUUAAUGAAAGUUUCUUUUGCCAACUGAUUUUGAGAUUUACUCUUCUGAGUAAAAAUGGUAAUACAUAAACCUAUUCUUAUUACUAUGAUGUUCUGCCAGUAGGAUACUAUAAGAGGAACUGUGUUUCAUCCUAAUACUACUUCAUCAGUGUAGCAUUACACUGAUAAAGGGAUUGGUGUGAUUAGAAAUAUUCCCUUAUAUUUAAUGGAGAGCCAAAACAAAAUCAUGACAGAACUGCUACAUUGCUAUGGUGUAGUUAAGAUUUCAAUUAACCUUGCCUUUAAUCCCAGUGUAUUUUUGCCAGUAUUUAAACUCCAGACAAGAUUUCUAGCUGAAAUAUUAGGGUAUGCUCUUGUUUGUGUAUGUGAGAGAAGGAGGGAGGGAAACAGUGUGAUAAUGAGAAUGAGAGAACAUUUGCAACUGACCAAGGGGCUGUGUGGUGAUGAGAAAUACAGAGGAAGAAUACUUUGCACAAUAGUUCAACCUAUCCAGAGGACACUGCUGACAUUUGUUAGAGAACUCCCAACAGUUACCUUACCUUAAGACAUGAACGUCAAUUAUCAACACUACUUCUACAACUGGGAUAAAAGGACAAAGCAUCUUGAACAGCAUCAAAACCUGAACAUGGGAAUAACAGAGGUUUUCUUCAGUGAAAGAUUCCUACAUACUCUAUUUGCUAGAUGUGGAGGGCUGGAUAUUUUCCAUUCUCAGUGCCAUACAGACUAAAAGGAAAACUUCCAGCAAAACCAGACCUAUGUGAUUCCAACUAUUCCAUUGUAUGGUUGCCAAAUAUAUUCCAAUAGGUUCCAUAUUUCAGCAACCAUUUACAUAACAAGUGAAACAAUGUUCUCUACGGAAGAUUAAGCAAGAAUACCCACACCCACUACUAUUAUAGAGUUUUCCGUUUAUAAAAUGCGACAGGGUGGUUUGCAAUACCUUCUGUGUGGUUUUAUUUUAGAACUACAGCACUAUAAGUGCUACAUGUAGAAGGGUGGGGCAUAUAUUUACAAUAAAAAUAAGGAUUUCACUUUA